rnacentral:tRNA from 1 species
GGAGAGGUGGCAGAGUGGCCGAUCGCACUCCCUUGCUAAGGGAGCGUCCUUUAAACGGGACCGUGGGUUCGAAUCCCACCCUCUCCGCCA